rnacentral:rRNA from 1 species
CCUACGGGAGGCAGCAGUGAGGAAUAUUGGUCAAUGGGCGAGAGCCUGAACCAGCCAAGUAGCGUGCAGGAUGACGGCCCUAUGGGUUGUAAACUGCUUUUAUAAGGGAAUAAAGUGGGGCUCGUGAGCUCCUUUGCAUGUACCUUAUGAAUAAGGACCGGCUAAUUCCGUGCCAGCAGC